GUAAUUUGUAAGAAGCUGAAUGACAGCAGCGGGGAAUAUGUCGCCCACAGCAAGGAAGAGCUUCAGCACUUGGUCGAACUCUCGUACUCGGCAAUUGAUUACAUACAAGCUGGGAACAGACAGCCGGCGUACAUUCCAGUAUCCGACUCAAGAUCUUCUGCUCCUAUAUUUAUUGUUAUAGACGAAAGCUUGGAUGAAGCCCACCUCCAGCAUUUACAGGGUUCACUCCAUGCUUUUCUUGAGUACCUUCCGCCCACGACGAGGGUUGGC
rnacentral:misc_RNA from 1 species